CCUCACCAAUUUCAUGGUGUUUUUGGUCAGACUUUCCUCACCAAUUUCAUGGUGUUUUUGGUCAGACUUUCCUCACCAAUUUCAUGGUGUUUUUAGGAUUCAGCUGCUGAUGGGAAACAUCACAUCAAGUUCAGCUCUGAUGAGGAAGAGGAUGGCGACGAGGAAGAACAUACUUCCCCUGUACCUCCCAACCCCAAGAAGACACUGUUCCAGAACAGCCAGUCUGAUGAGGAAGACUCUAGUGAUGAAGAAUCACCAGCUCGAGGAAAGCCAGGCCUUAAAGACAAGGAAUAUAAGAAGCUGGCGGGCAGCAACCUGUUUGACGACGAUGAUGAUGAUGAUGAUGAGGAGGAGAAGGAUGGGGACAGGUUCCAGAUUAAACCUCAGUUUGAAGGAAAAGCUGGAGCGAAGCUCAUGCAACUGCAGUCGAGGUUUGGAACAGAUGAGCGUUUCCAGAUGGAUCGCAGGUUUAUUGACAGUGACGACGACGACGAACCAGAGAUGGAGUUGUCUCAGCCGGAGAGAGAGUGUGAGCUGGUAGAGGAGAAGAAGAAAAGUCUAGACAUCUUAAAUCAUCUCCUCAACAUCAACGUACAACCCUCUGACCCUAAUAAACCGACAGCUAAGGGCAAGGCGUUCAGGUCAGUCAGAACUCACUGGAGUUCAUGUCACUAGAAUGGUGUCUAAAAUGGUGUUCCCUAUAUAGGUUUCUAGUGCACUAUAGGGCCCCUGGUCAACAGUAGUGCACUAUAGUGCCCCUGUUCCCUAUAUAGGGUUCUAGUGCACUAUAGGGCCCCUGGUCAACAGUAGUGCACUAUAGGGCCCCUGGUCAACAGUAGUGCACUAUAGGGCCCUUGUUCCCUCUAUCGGCGUUCUAGUGCAAUAUGGGCUGGUCAACAGUAGGCGCUGUGGGGGCAACUGGUCAACAGUAGUGCGGCUCAUGGGCAACUGGUCAAACAGUAGUGCGCUAUGCGCCCCCUGGUCAACAGUAGUGGCUAUGGGCCCCCUGGUCAACAGUUUUAGGCGCUAUGGGCCCCCGGUCAACAUAGUGCGCUAGGGCCCCUGGUCAACAGUAGGCGCUAUGGGCCCCUGGUCCAACAGUAGUAGUGCGCUAUGGGCCCCCUGUUCAACAGUAGUGCCGUAUGGGCCCCCUGGUCAACAGUAGUGGGCUAUGGGGCCCCCUGGUCAAACAGUAGUGCGCUAUGGGCCCCCUGGCAACAGUAUUGCGGCUUAUGGGCACCCUGGUUAACAGUAGUGCGCUAUGGGCCCCCUGGUCAACAGUAGGCAGCUUAUGGGCCCCCUGGUCAACAGUAGUGCGCUAUGGGACCCCCUGGUCAACAGUAGUGACGCUUAUGGGCCCCCUGGGUCAACCGUAGGCGCUAUGGGCCCCUGGUCAACAGUAGUGCGCUAUGGGCCCCCUGGUCAACAGUUAGUGCGCUAUGGGCCCCCUGGUCAACAGUAGUGCCGCUAGGGCCCCGCGCAACAGUAGUUGCGCUAUGGCCCCCCUUUUGUUUUGGUCAACAGUCUGCGC
rnacentral:lncRNA from 1 species